GACGAACGCUGGCGGCGUGCUUAACACAUGCAAGUCGAACGGAAAGGCCCUGCUUUUGUGGGGUGCUCGAGUGGCGAACGGGUGAGUAACACGUGAGUAACCUGCCCUUGACUUUGGGAUAACUUCAGGAAACUGGGGCUAAUACCGGAUAGGAGCUCCUGCUGCAUGGUGGGGGUUGGAAAGUUUCGGCGGUUGGGGAUGGACUCGCGGCUUAUCAGCUUGUUGGUGGGGUAGUGGCUGACCAAGGCUUUGACGGGUAGCCGGCCUGGGAGGGUGACCGGCCACCUUGGGACUGCGGUACGGCCCAGACUCCUACGGGAGGCAGCAGUGGGGAAUAUUGCACAAUGGGCGGAAGCCUGAUGCGACAACGCCGCGUGCGGGAUGACGUCCUUCGGGUUGUAAACCAAUUUCGCCUGUGCCGAAGCGUUAGUGACGGUAAUGGGUAAAGAAGCACCGGCUAACUACGUG
rnacentral:rRNA from 1 species